UAGCCUAGUGGUUAAGGCUACGGAUCGUUAAUUCGGAGACGGCGGGUUCGAUUCCCGU
rfam:Aedes albopictus isolate Foshan contig103494, whole genome shotgun sequence.